GACGAACGCUGGCGGCGUGCUUAACACAUGCAAGUCGAACGGAAAGGCCCCCACCUUGGUGGGGGUGCUCGAGUGGCGAACGGGUGAGUAACACGUGGGUGAUCUGCCCUGUACUUCGGGAUAAGCUUGGGAAACUGGGUCUAAUACCGGAUAGGACCAUGGUUUAGUGUCUCAUGGUGGAAAAAUUAUUGUUUUGGUGCAGGAUGAGCUCGCGGCCUAUCAGCUUGUUGGUGGGGUAAUGGCCUACCAAGGCGUCGACGGGUAGCCGGCCUGAGAGGGUGGACGGCCACAUUGGGAGUGAGAUACGGCCCAGACUCCUACGGGAGGCAGCAGUGGGGAAUAUUGCACAAUGGGCGCAAGCCUGAUGCAGCGACGCCGCGUGGGGGAUGACGGCCUUCGGGUUGUAAACUCCUUUCGUUAGGGACGAAGCCACACCUUUUUUGGGUGUGGUGACGGUACCUUUGUUAAGAAGCACCGGCUAACUACGUG
rnacentral:rRNA from 1 species